AUGGACUCUUGAUUACCACUGGAACCGUGCUCGGAGUGUGCGAGUGCGCGGGGGGGGCACAGUGCUGCGGUGCAGAGGAGGCUGCUGUAUCCUGUUUUUGUAAAGGGCUUUUCCUCUUAGUAGUCGUAGUGAAAACAAACAUGUGGGAGAACAAUGGGAUUUUUUUUUCUGUUUUCCUCUACAUUUUUUAAAUACAAUAAAAAAGCCUAUUAAAAUUAAAUAAAGCAUGUUAACAGAAAAGGGAUACCUAUAUGUUAAUGAGGAAAAUAAGCGUAACUAUGUGAACAUGCAAUCACAAGCACAAAGGUCAUUUGCCUUCCUGAUCUCAGCGUGUAUUUUUGCAGUUGAAAGCCUAUUCAUUAAAUACCUUGUGAAAACAGGGCACUGGUAAAGCAGAACAAUGCCUGUGCCACAAAGCUGUUAUCUGUAAUAAAGGCGGGUCAGCUUCACACCCCAGAGAAACACCCUCGCCCGCUGCUGCAGGACUUUGCAGUCUUCUGAGUCGUCAUCUCAGCAGGGAGCAAAGGGGAGUCCGCAGAAAGGAUUUCCUUUCUUCAGGUGCCGCAGCCUGUGACCACGUCUGGCCUCGACCUUCUCAGCAGCAGAUUGGGGUCCCGAAGCCCUUCACUACAAGACUCCCGCAUCUUUCAGUGUGACAGCUUUGAUGUAAAUAGAUACGCACGCAUACACUUCGCUUGAAAUCGGUGGAGCAGCUCCUGGUAGCAAAGCCAAGGCUGUAAGUAUGCGCAGGAUCAGUCCCCGAGGGGAGGGCGAGCGGGUGGGCACAGGCUUCCCUCGGGGCAGGGACACGCAGGGACACCUCGCGGCAGCUUUCACUGGCCCCGUAAGUGUCAUGAGACGUCUCCGCAACCUGCACAAAGUCAGCAUGUAGCAACUGCAGAUGGGGUAGUUCUGUUGACUCUUUGCUGUCAUCAAAUGAGUCAGUGGCAAGUCACAGUCUUGUAUGUCGGCAGGGAGUGGCAGGCCAGGAAAUCAGUCACAGAAAGUGGGGG